rnacentral:lncRNA from 1 species
AAAAAAUAUUCAAACAAUAAUAGUUUUGAUGAAAAUUAUAUUUAUCAAAAGAAAAAUGUCUGCUGGGCCCGCCUUUGGCAUGAAUGACAGCAGUCUCUUAAAUUAAUUUUCGAGCAGGUUUUGAAAAGACCUGGUCGAAAAUUGGAAUUUCUUUUUAUCACUCUAUAUUUGAUCCAUAUUCCAAUUUGUUCCAGAGAUGUUCAAUUGGAUUGUCUUUAAAUUGAAUGAUACAAUUUUAGAUUAUCUAAAUUCUAAAGCUGUGGCGUUCUAAUCCAAGCACUUUUAAUUAUGAGCAAUAGUAUUAUCAUUCUGAAAUAUAUAGAGCGGAAAUCCACGAAAUUCUAAAACAUUGGUAACAUAAAGUUGUUAUAAUGCUAGUAUAAGUGACCAAGAUUUGACUCCUGUGAACAACUAAUAAUCUCAGUCCAAAUCUCAGUGACAAACAGCCUCAUAUAUAUAGUCUAAUACAUUCUUAUUCAAAUUUUGUUUGAACUAUGCAUUCUAUAGAAAAAAUUCACCAGGAAUUUCAACAUCCAUGUUGGACAAUUAGAUCUGAACAUUACUUAAAAUCUAAUGCUCAAGAAUCAAGAAUAUCAAUUAAUGCAUCAUUCCAAACGGUGUAUUCGCUGAUAUUAAGUUGGGUUUAUGUUGCAUCUCGCCAUGAAAUUUUAUACUUUCAUAGAUCUUAUGAAAGCUAGAAAUGGGCGGUCGAAUGACCGCGUAGUAACGCGUAGACGUGCCACGAGAAGGACCCGGGUUCACAUCCCGAUUCCGACAUCCCCUGAAAAGUUUUUUCGGGGUUCUGAGCCCGAUCCGUCCUUCACCCCCUGUCCCCCUUCACGGGUAUGGAUGAAGUCCUUAGUUGGAACUGGUCCCGCCCCUUAGUAAUCUCACUGAUUGGAAAGAGGCAUAAAACAGCAAAGUAAAAUAAAAAAGCUAGAAAUGUGUAUGGAAAAAAGAGUUGACACCCUGAAAAAAUAACGAUUUCAUCGCUUUCUUUAGAAUUCCUUUUUCAGGAUGUUCAUUAUUCUUUUUAUUAAUGUGCUUUUUCCUUCCAGAUCGUAUUGACUGAGUUUCACCCUUCUUUUUCUCUACGUUUUCAUAUAGUCAGCUACCAUUAAUUUGAAUGCCAAACUGUUUCAAAGUUAAUUAUAGCUCAUAAAUUCCGUAGAUCAUAAAUAGUAUCCAACAGUUUAAUCCCCCUGAAAAUCUGCAAGCUCUUCAUUAGCUGCUUUUGAUACUUCCUUUUAAUAAUUAAAAUAAAUAAUUUACUUAACUAGAUAAUAGUGUAAUAGUAAUAGUAUCCUUGAUAUUCGUUAUCCGAUUAUUUAAAUAGCGCAGUGUAGUAUGUGUUGAUUAUUGAAACUGGAUCGAUUGAAAAUAAUGAAAAUGACAAUAUUGAUGAAAAGAAUUUCGAUUUUAAAAUGUAACAAAUUCAUAAUAUGCGUAGGAACAUGCAAUAGUUUUUUAUCAGUUAUUCGGAAACAAUAUUGAAUUGGUUGCAAAGGAAUUGCCUUGAAUACUGCCAAUAUUAGUAUAACAUUAUGAGUGCAAUAAUAAAUAUGAAUAGUAAACGAUUAAAUUCGCAUUGCUGCUUUAAAAAACAAUCAAAUUUUUAAAAACAAAAAAUUUAAUCACUAAAGUAAGAAACUUUAUUUACAAAUCAGAUAAUGUUG